AGUGUUUAAAACUGGAUAUUUAAGGGGAGAAGAAGAACUAAACCAGACCAGCAGUCCUGAUCUCACCACCGAUCUACCUCUCCAUUUGGAGGGAAAGAACUACAACACCACCUACAGCUGUGUGGCUCCUAUUAGCAAUUGGACAGUCCCAAAAUGUUGCAGUGAAGAUGGUCAUCCUAAUGAUGCAGGAGGAGCGAAGAGGUAUACCAGAACUGGAGUCACAUAGAGGCAACCCUGAACUGGCAUCAGUUUAUGAUACACUCCAGUUACAUCGCAAGGCUGCCAGCGGGGAUGUUGACACGGCAUGAAGGAGCGAAAUGGGAAGUCACUGAGAGGCUGGAGAGGACGGUGUAUCAAUUAAACAAAAUUUUAUUAAAAAAAUAUUCACCCAGAAAACAUUUUAGAGGCACACUUGUUAUGGGAGAACAUUCCCCUGGAACUGUUGAGCUAAUGUUAUAUUUUCAGGCUUUUUUUGUAGGUCAUUCUCACAGACCUGCCAAAUAAAGGCCUCGAUGACAUCCACUGAUACAGACCAAUUCAAUAACUAUGCAUUGAGUUAUUAGCAGGAUCAGGAUAAUCCUUUUUUUAAAUGCCUUUUGUACCAAAUCCCAAUUUAUAUGUUGAAACAAAUGGAACCCAUAUUUUAAUACAAUUCACCAGUGUGUUUGCUCGGGGUGCAACUUUGGUUUUAGAAGUGGGGGGGGCAUGACUUUUUAUUUUAUUUUAUGAUUUUUUUCAAAUCCAGUCAGAUAAACACUCCAAACAGCCUACCCAGCAGCUUGGAGGCGUCCUCAUGGUCCUAAAGCACAAAAAUGCUAUUUCAGAAUGUGGGGGGAACCCCCGUCCCCAGUGAAAGAUGUGUCCCUGGUGUUUACUAUGCUACUGCUGGGCUAAAGCUUCUUUUCUGUACUGACUGUUCUGUUGUUUAAUUGUAGGUCCCUCCCCUGCGUCUUUUUAUAGCUGGUAAUUGUUUAGCUUGCCAGUGUAUAGCAGCUGUUUACAUAAAAGGGCAGGCGUUUGAGAUAAAGACACCUUCUCCUUAGCAGCAAAGGCUGUUAUGGCUCGUGUUCACGAGCAUGAGCUAAAUUGCCGUGAGCCGCUUAGGCCGCCCAGAGUGGCUCGCUUGUGGGCGUGC